UACAGAGGUCUCAAGCGUUUGUUCGGAUUCAUUGGGCGUAAAGGGUGCGUAGGCGGCGCGGUAAGUCGGGUGUGAAAUCUCGGAGCUUAACUCCGAAACUGCAUUCGAUACUGCCGUGCUUGAGGACUGGAGAGGAGACUGGAAUUUACGGUGUAGCGGUGAAAUGCGUAGAUAUCGUAAGGAAGACCAGUGGCGAAGGCGGGUCUCUGGACAGUUCCUGACGCUGAGGCACGAAGGCUAGGGGAGCAAACGGG
rnacentral:rRNA from 1 species